UCACACCAAAAAAUGGCAGAAAUUGUUGCGGCCUCUUGAUGGUUUUCUAGUAGCUUCUCUACAUCAACCAAAGCUGCUUACGCACACAGGCAAGUGUAGAUUGGAAAAAGGUAGAAAGUGGACAUGAAAAGCGAUGAAGAAAAGAAAUGAAAUUAAGAUAGAGUGAGGCGCAACUUCAAGAAUAGCAUAACAAAAAGAAAGAAGAAAUGUCUACACGAACGGAAGAUAGUCAGGGACAACUUGAAGAAUGGGAAAAAUAAUUUGAAGAAAGAGUGGAGAAACAACUUGGUGAAAGAAUGGAAAAGAAAUUUGUGGAAAUGAUGGCGGCCAUAUUUUUUAAAAGGCACUGGGUUCUCUGUUCCUUGAGAAUCAGUGUUUCUCAUAGCCUGCGAGAUCAUCAGAAUGGAGUGCACCUGAAGUUGGGUUUCUAAAUUUCAAUGUAGAUGGCACCUCAAGUGGAAAUCCAAGGCCUAGCGGCACAGGAAAAGAGCUUGGUGAAGAAAAGAAGCGAGUCUUUGGGUUAUUUCUCCAAAAAAACGGGGUGAAACUUGGGCCUACGAAGCAGAGAUUUUAACGAUCCCAAAUGCGAGCAAUUCAACUUCAGAAAUAUAAUUGUGGAGAGUUGUUCAAGCCUUGCAAAACUCUGUAAUUUCCUUUUAUGGUGUUUUUGUAUGUCUUACUCAUUUUAUCAAUAAAGCUUUCUCUCUUUUCAA